GGCUUGUAUGAAUGGCUGAAUGAGAUAUAACCUAUUUAUAUUUUAUAAAAAAUGAAUUUUAAUUUUAAGUAAAAAUGCUUAAAUAUAAAAAAAAGACGAGAAGACCCUAUAAAUCUUAAUUUUAUAGUAUAUUUAUAAUAUUUUGAAAAUUUCAUUAAAUUUAUUAAAUAAAAUUUUAUUGGGGUGAUAGUGAAAUUUAAAAAACUUUUAUUUUUUUUUACAAAUAUAAUUGAUAAAUUGAUCCAUUAAUAAUGAUUACAAGAUUAAGUUACUUUAGGGAUAACAGCGUAAUUAUUUUAAAGAGUUCAUAUCGAUAAAAUAGUUUGCGACCUCGAUGUUGAAUUAA
rnacentral:rRNA from 1 species